rnacentral:rRNA from 1 species
GUUCCUACGGGACGCAGCAGUAGGGAAUCUUCCACAAUGGACGAAAGUCUGAUGGAGCAACGCCGCGUGAGUGAAGAAGGGUUUCGGCUCGUAAAGCUCUGGUGGUAGUGAAGAAAGAUAGAGGUAGGAACUGGCCUUUAUUUGACGGGAAUUACUUAGAAAGUCACGGCUAACUACGUGCCAGCAGCCGCGGUAAUACGGAGGGGGCAAGCGGUGUCCGGAUUUAUUGGGCGUAAAGC